ACUCAGGAGAGAAGCUGCUCUCUGAGCUGAGGAACGAUCCACAAUACAAGCUCCACAUACUCAACGUUGAACAUGGUGGAAGUCACAGAAUGAAACCAGGCUUCAGGAAAUAUGCCUGUGAGCUCACC